CCAUGAAGGAAGACAUUUUGACAAAUAUUUCUAAAGGACACAUAUGAAAAAUAUACAUAUUUUUUUAACAAUAGCAUUAUUACUUUUUUAAAGUUCUUUGAAUGAGCUUUUGUUAGCUUUGUUUUACACAAAAAUGAAGUGCGCUGACCAUACUGAGUCAAUGUAGAAACGGCAAACUCGAUGAACAAUGGAAAAUCGUAUCAUCACUCGCAAUCAGUCACGUCACCAACUGACAAUGAGUGCCCUCGAUAGGGAUUUGAGGAAAGCGGUGGCCCUCGGUGAUCUGGCUAAAGUAAGGCAAGCUUUGGCGUCUGGGAUAUCACCGAAUGAUGUUGAUUGUAAUGGAUGGACUCUGUUGCAUUUAGCGGCAUCAAGAGGGCGCGACCGAGUCUUGAGGAUACUACUAGAAGAGGGAGGGAAGCCAGACAUAAAGGACCUUAUUGGAGGCUUCACAUGCCUUCAUUAUGCAGCAAUGCACGGCAGGACACGCCUCGCUCGCUUACUCCUAGAAUACGACAAGUCCAAUCGAUCUGAGCUCGUUGACACGCCCAGCCGCGAUGGCUGGACACCCCUUCAUGUUGCCGCCCACUACGGGCGGGAUUCCUUUGUCAGACUCUUGGUCCAGUACAAUGCCCUGGUGGACCCUCUCAGCAUCAAAGGCACCACCCCCUUGCAGCUGGCCAUCAUCCGAGAGAAACAGAGCUGCGUGAAGGUGUUGCUGGACAACUACGCCAACAUUGACGUCCAGAGGGGCUUCCCACUCCGCUAUACCAUCAUCAAAGGGAACCACGAAUCAGCACGUCUCCUCUUGAACCGGGGCGCUGAUCCAAACCUUAGUCGGGAGGACGAUGGGCAGACUCCCCUUCACCUUGCUGCCAUCAAGAACGAUAACUAUAACUGUAGGUUGCUUUAUAGCUUUGGAGCUAGCUGCCACGCCUGCGGGGACGAUGGGAAAACACCCUUAGCUACUUACAAGGAUGUGUAUACUCAGAAAGAGUCCACUCUGUGCUUUAAGUUUCUUAGAGAUGCUACAACAAAUCCGAGAUCACUCCAAGAUCGUUGCAGGCUUAUCAUCCGUCAAGCUGUUGGAAAAACAAGACUCCACCACUUAGAUAUGAUCCCCUUGUCUUCAAUAAUGACAAAUUAUCUCAAGUUUAAAUAUGACGACUUCUGUGGUUUUUGACUAGCUGUGGUUUGUGCAGGUCUCGUCAGAUAUUGAUUCAAUUUCAAAGAGGGACUCAAAGAAUUCUUGCUCCUUUCAACCAACAACUGAUUUUUUUGGUGCAAAAUAUCGGGCUCUGCAAGGUUUCGUUCUCAGCAGCACAAAGGCCGUGUCAUCUGUGACAUGUGUGAGAGA